AUUUCAGUCACCAGAAACUUCUCAUCUAAGCAAAACCCUCAGUUCUAUUCCCAGCCACGAAAGCAAGACAGACAACUCCGAUAUGGAAAAUAAUGAGCCAGAAGAUUACAUAACCUUGCGAAGUCGCACAGUUAUCUAUACUGAGCCGAAGAAAAGGAGGCGAACCCGCCGGCCAAAACAGCCAGUUGCAACUGAAACUGAAGUCCAUGAAGAUCCAUCCCCAUCCCCAUCCUCAUCCCAAGUGGGCGAUGCAAGUCCCGAAACCGAAGUGCAAAAUCAAGCAGACUCGAGUACUACUACUUCUACUAGAACAAAUUCUUCCUGCAUAAUAUGUUAGGGGCCAAACUCUCUAAAUCGGGAGAUAUAGUAGUAGAAAGUAGUGCGAUGCCAAGUAGUUACAUUUAUGAUGCAAAACAAGUUAACAUUUCUCAUUCCAAAGCCGAAGUUCAUUCGAUGAUUUGUAUAUUUUGUAUAAUGUUCAUUUUGUUUUCACAGGGCAAAGGUCGCAAGUGCCUUUGAACCUGUGUGUGUGUGCCACCGACUGAGACAAAAAGCCACCACGAUGCCGGCACAAAGAAGCAGCGGCAGGUUCUAAGGACUCAAAAGAACAGCGAACUCUCAAUUUGGAAUCGAACCAAUUAGUUGUCCUUUGUGCGCUGCCACCUUUGUCGCCUGCAUUUCGCAAACAACAACGUUUUUGGAUUUUGAUUUUGAUUUUCCCAUGGCCCAUGGCCCAUUUGCCCAUGGCUUUUCUCCAGAUUGCCACUGUUUUACGGUGGCCAAGGCGGCGAGUCCUGUUACGCAGUCGAGGAUCCUUUUCGAUUUGUGUCCUUCUCUCUGUUUGCAGUUGUGAGCCGCGUGGAAGGAGCGCAGCGGGGCGUGCGGUGCAAAGAUCAGAGGAGCGGCCCGCCGCGGGGCGCCCUCAACUGAUGAUCAUUUCGACACCCCGUUUAUGCGGCGUUCUCUUUUCUUGUUUUGCUCCUCUGCUCCUGUUCGCCGUGCACUGCGAGAAAAGCGCCUGGAUGUGCGCAAUACCAUUUCAAGUUCCAUGCUAUUUCAAGCCUUUGCAAGCGAGAUUAUCGCAUUGGUAAAUUUGCGCAUUUUAAAUUUUGUCGUUCUUAUUUGAUUAAAAUUGUAAAUUGUCACGCAUAACAGCAAA